AUUGAACGCUGGCGGCAUGCCUUACACAUGCAAGUCGAACGGCAGCGGGCCCUUCGGGGUGCCGGCGAGUGGCGAACGGGUGAGUAAUGCAUCGGAACGUACCCGGGAGAGGGGGAUAACCGGCCGAAAGGCUGGCUAAUACCGCAUGAUCUCGGAAGAGCAAAGCGGGGGACCUUCGGGCCUCGCGCUCUCGGAGCGGCCGAUGUCCGAUUAGCUAGUUGGUGAGGUAAAGGCUCACCAAGGCGACGAUCGGUAGCGGGUCUGAGAGGACGAUCCGCCACACUGGGACUGAGACACGGCCCAGACUCCUACGGGAGGCAGCAGUGGGGAAUCUUGGACAAUGGGCGCAAGCCUGAUCCAGCAAUGCCGCGUGGGUGAAGAAGGCCUUCGGGUUGUAAAGCCCUUUCGGUGGGGAAGAAAUCGGCCGGGCGAAUAGUCCGUUCGGAUGACGGUACCCGCAGAAGAAGCACCGGCUAACUACGUGCCAGCAGCCGCGGUAAUACGUAGGGUGCGAGCGUUAAUCGGAAUUACUGGGCGUAAAGGGUGCGCAGGCGGUUCUGUAAGACCGGUGUGAAAUCCCCGGGCUCAACCUGGGAAUUGCGCUGGUGACUGCAGGGCUAGAGUACGGUAGAGGGGGGUGGAAUUCCUGGUGUAGCAGUGAAAUGCGUAGAGAUCAGGAGGAACACCGAUGGCGAAGGCAGCCCCCUGGGCCUGUACUGACGCUCAUGCACGAAAGCGUGGGGAGCAAACA
rnacentral:rRNA from 1 species